rnacentral:rRNA from 1 species
ACGAACGCUGGCGGCGUGCUUAACACAUGCAAGUCGAACGGAGAAUUUAUUUCGGUAAAUUCUUAGUGGCGAACGGGUGAGUAACGCGUGGGCAACCUGCCCUUCAGAUGGGGACAACAUCCCGAAAGGGGUGCUAAUACCGAAUACGAUCACGCUGCCGCAUGGCGGUGUGAUGAAAGAUGGCCUCUAUUUAUAAGCUAUCGCUGAAGGAUGGGCCUGCGUCUGAUUAGCUAGUUGGUGGGGUAACGGCCUACCAAGGCGAUGAUCAGUAGCCGGUCUGAGAGGAUGAACGGCCACAUUGGGACUGAGACACGGCCCAAACUCCUACGGGAGGCAGCAGUGGGGAAUAUUCCGCAAUGGACGAAAGUCUGACGGAGCAACGCCGCGUGAGUGAUGAAGGUUUUCGGACUGUAAAACUCUGUUGUUUAGGACGAAAGUGCCUGUUGCAAAUAGUUGCAGGUAUUGACGGUACUGAACGAGGAAGCCACGGCUAACUACGUG